rnacentral:lncRNA from 1 species
AAACCGUUACAACUUGAGGACACAAGCCUCAACAACCUUUGUUCGGAGAUACAACACUCCAACACUUCAACCAAGAAAACACAAGUUCCUUCUUACAACAGAAGGGACUAACACUUCCCUUCAAGUGUACAAAAAAACUUAGCACUCAAACAAGACACUCCUUUAAGAGUAGAUAUGAGUAAAAAGAAUACGCUCAAGAUCGCAACAACUUUCGACAAGAAUUUGGCUCUCA